AAGGGCAAAGGAGGAUUUAGUAGUA
rnacentral:piRNA from 1 species